UUAUAUAGAAGUCGCUAUACUGUAUAUAAUUGGACUGGUAGAUAAAAAAAAACAUAUUAAGAAUUUUAUUUUCUAAGGUUUUUUUUGUCGGUAGUUAAUGUUUUUUUUUUUUUACGGGAAUGAUUAAGAAAGAGUUAAUAAUGGUGAUUUAGAUGCAGAUCUGAAUGUGUAAAAUGUUGACUUUGUAGAUUAUUCUUCAAAAAUUUGGGAGUGUUCG
rnacentral:lncRNA from 1 species